UUGAACGCUGGCGGCAGGCCUAACACAUGCAAGUCGAGCGGAUGAAGGGAGCUUGCUCCUGGAUUCAGCGGCGGACGGGUGAGUAAUGCCUAGGAAUCUGCCUGGUAGUGGGGGAUAACGUCCGGAAACGGGCGCUAAUACCGCAUACGUCCUGAGGGAGAAAGUGGGGGAUCUUCGGACCUCACGCUAUCAGAUGAGCCUAGGUCGGAUUAGCUAGUUGGGGGGGUAAAGGCCUACCAAGGCGACGAUCCGUAACUGGUCUGAGAGGAUGAUCAGUCACACUGGAACUGAGACACGGUCCAGACUCCUACGGGAGGCAGCAGUGGGGAAUAUUGGACAAUGGGCGAAAGCCUGAUCCAGCCAUGCCGCGUGUGUGAAGAAGGUCUUCGGAUUGUAAAGCACUUUAAGUUGGGAGGAAGGGCAGUAAGUUAAUACCUUGCUGUUUUGACGUUACCAACAGAAUAAGCACCGGCUAACUUCGUG
rnacentral:rRNA from 1 species